GUGAUGAGAAUCAUGCCCGUGAGCUAGAUGCUCGGUCCAGGGGUAGCUGA
rnacentral:snoRNA from 2 species